rnacentral:misc_RNA from 1 species
GUGAAUCAUCGAAUUUUUGAACGCAUAUUGCACUCUCUGGUAUUCCGGAGAGUAUGCCUGUUUGAGGGUCAGUUAAAUAAAAAUCGGUGUUUUUGCCAUUUUUUGUGGUGAUGCAUCGGAAUUGAGUCGUCUUUACCUUUGGUUUAAGUGACUUAAAAUUUUGUAUGAUUUUUGAACGUAUUUAAAUUAUUUACGUACGUUUAUAAUAAUCGUUUAUUAGGUGUGGUCAUUCUUAUGAUAUUCACAUCUAUAAUUUUUCAUUAAAUGACCUCAAAUCAGGUAAGAAUACCCGCUGAACUUA